rnacentral:rRNA from 1 species
AGUGGAUGGGGAACAACCUAGUUGUGCGUGUGUAAAGGUAGUGCCAAGAAAAGCGGUGAUCAUGAUGAAAAUCAAUUCCCGGUACCCGAAACCGACACAGGUGGGCAAGUAGAGAAUACUAAGGGGCGCGAGGUAACUCUCUCCAAGGAACUCGGCAAAAUGACCCCGUAACUUAGGGAGAAGGGGUGCCACCGAGAGGUGGUCGCAGUGAAGAGGCCCAGGCGACUGUUUAGCAAAAACAUAGGUCUCUGCAAACUCGAAAGAGGAGGUAUAGGGGCUGACGCCUGCCCAGUGCCGGAAGGUUAAAGAAGUUGGUCAGUCUUAGGAUGAAGCUAGCGACUGAAGCCCCGGUGAACGGCGGCCGUAACUAUAACGGUCCUAAGGUAGCGAAAUUCCUUGUCGGGUAAGUUCCGACCCGCACGAAAGGCGUAACGAUCUGGGCGCUGUCUCGGAGAGAGGCUCGGCGAAAUAGGAUUGUCUGUGAAGAUACGGACUACCUGCAUUUGGACAGAAAGACCCUAUGAAGCUUUACUAUAGCUUGGAAUUGUGUUCGGGCUUCCUGUGCGCAGGAUAGGUGGGAGGCGUAGAAGGUAUUCUUGUGGGGAUACUGGAGGCAACGGUGAGAUACCACUCUCAGGAGGCUAGAAUUCUAACUUAAUUAAGGACAGUUUCAGGUGGGUAGUUUGACUGGGGCGGUCGCCUCCAAAAAGGUAACGGAGGCGUACAAAGGUUCCCUCAGACUGGUUGGAAAUCAGUCGCAGAGUGCAAAGGCAGAAGGGAGCUUGACUGCGAGAAGUACAGUUCGAGCAGGGUGGAAACACGGUCUUAGUGAUCCGACGGUGCUGUGUGGAAGGGCCGUCGUUCAACGGAUAAAAGUUACUCUAGGAUAACAGGCUGAUCUCCCCCAAGAGUUCACAUCGACGGGGAGGUUUGGCACCUCGAUGUCGGCUCAUCGCAACCUGGGGCGGAAGUACGUCCCAAGGGUUGGGCUGUUCGCCCAUUAAAGCGGUACGUGAGCUGGGUUCAGAACGUCGUGAGACAGUUCGGUCCAUAUCCGAUGUAGGCGUGAGAAUAUUGAGAGGAGGCUUCCUUAGUACGAGAGGACCGGGAAGGACGCACCGCUGGUGUACCUGUUAUGAUGCCAAUUGUAAACGCAGGGUAGCCAAGUGCGGAGAGGAUAACCGCUGAAAGCAUCUAAGUGGGAAGCCCACCUCAAGAUGAGUAUUCUGGUGUAAGGUCACGGGAAGACGACCCGUAAAUAGGCACGAGGUGGAAGUGCAGAGAUGUAUGAAGCCGAAGUGUACUAAUAGACCGUCGGCUUGA